rnacentral:tRNA from 1 species
GGGCGAGUGGCGGAAUUGGUAUACGCGACGGACUUAAAAUCCGUUGGCCUUUACCGGCCUUGAGGGUUCAAGUCCCUCCUCGCCCACCA